GGCGCCUCCCGGAACGCGCUCCUGGCCUGCGGGUGCUGCCCGCUCAGUCUCCGGGUGGGAAGUGCGCUCGCCCCGGUCCGAGGGGAAAGCCCAGCAUCCCCGGCAGGGAACAGAGAGGCGGCCACCCGCGAGUGGGCGUGACCCAUUGGUUCCCUUGCGCAGCAUCUUUGGAGAAUUAAGCUUUCCCCUCCUCUCUUGCCAGCCGUUGUUCCUAAUCUUGUCUUUUUUAAGGGAGGAAAGCAGGAGAACUCAUGACACUUUGUGUCACAGGAUAUCAAGUUGGUGGACAGAGGGUUUGCUGAACUCUCCGUCCCUCCUCAGGGUCCCUAGGAGAAUUUUUGAAGAAGUAAUCGGCAGCAAGGAGACGGGGGCAAUAGAGAGUCUCAGACUCGCAGGGACCCAUGUUCGUCCCCAGCGCCACUACUUUCAAACCGUUAUCCCUCAGAGCUGUUUCCUCACCUCCACAACUCUCCCGGGUUCGAUGACACUAUAUAUCCCACCAGUUCAUCUCGGUACAGGCCAAAAGCACCUGUGAGCACUACUGCAAGCCAGAGCUUGUCAGCUGGGCUUAUUUCAUCACUGAAUAAUGGCCAUGAAAAGAUGUCCGAGUUCUAAUCCUUGGAACCAGUGAUUGGUGCCUUACCUGGCAAAAGGAACUUUGCAGAUAUAAUAAAGGAUCUUGAAGUGGGAAGGUUAUCCUGGGCUUCCGGGUUACCCUAGUUGGCCCAAUUGUAAACAUAAGGUACUUAUAGGAAGGAGUCAAGAAAGUCAAAGGCAGAAGAAAAAGAUGGGAUGAUGGAAACAGAGGUUGAAAUCAUGCACUUUGAAGAUGGAGGAAGGUGGUCAUCAACAAAAGAAUAUAGGUGAUCUCUGGAAACUAGAAAAAGUGAAAAAAGGAUUCUCCUCUAGAGUCUUCCAAAUGGAACACCGGUCUACUAACAUCUUGAUUUUAGCCCAGUUAAACUGGUUUUAGACUGACCUCCAGAGCUAUAAGAUUAAAAAAUUUGUGUUGUUUUAAGCCA